rnacentral:rRNA from 1 species
UACAGAGGUCCCAAGCGUUGUUCGGAUUCAUUGGGCGUAAAGGGUGCGUAGGCGGCGCGGUAAGUCGGGUGUGAAAUCUCGGGGCUUAACUCCGAAACUGCAUUCGAUACUGCCGUGCUUGAGGACUGGAGAGGAGACUGGAAUUUACGGUGUAGCGGUGAAAUGCGUAGAUAUCAGGAGGAACACCGGUGGCGAAGGCGGAUCUCUGGGCCGAUACUGACGCUGAGGAGCGAAAGCGUGGGGAGCGAACAGG